UAGCGGGGGCUGGCCCAGAUGGCUGCCACAGCAAGCUCCACAGCUCAUGGGCCCUGGGUCACCUACCCUGGGACCUGGGGAUAAGUUUGGCUGUGGACAGUG
rnacentral:snoRNA from 1 species